GGUUGCCUGAUGGCUUCACACAGCUCAGAGGACUGGCUCACCUAUCACUCAAUGACGUGUCGUUGCAGUCUCUACCCAAUGACAUUGGAAACUUGUCAAACCUGGUGACUCUAGAGCUGAGGGAGAAUCUACUGAAAUCUUUGCCCUUCUCUCUUUCCUUCCUGGUUAAACUGGAACAGCUGGAUCUGGGAAGCAAUGUACUGGAAGUUUUGCCUGACACACUUGGGGCACUGCCCAAUCUUCGUGAGCUUUGGUUGGACAGAAACCAGCUCUCCUCACUACCUCCUGAGCUGGGGAACCUGCGGCAGCUGGUUU